rnacentral:lncRNA from 1 species
GAGCCCCGCCCACCGGAUAGCUUCGGGGAUCUCCCGCCCGCCCUGGCCCCAGCGUCGGCCCCGCCUCUGGCGGCGCUUUGCUGCAUGCAUGUCGUAAAACAGCCUAGUUCUGUCGCGUCUGCGCGUGCUUCCAGGUCUCAACUGGCAGCGCUGAAGUAGAGAAGAAUCUCUCUUACCUGGACUGCGGGCUGAAUUUCAGGGCGGCGAGACUGGAGAGGCACUGACCGACUCCAAAACCAAGGUGUGGUGCCCAGAGAAGUUCCCUCCAUCCGUGUCAGACCAGCUUUGAGAUGAACAUUUCUUCACAUGACCUUUGCCUUUCUCCUUCUGCAUUCAUCACUGAAAUCCAGGAAUUUCUCAACCUAGGAAAUAGUUUGCAAGAUCCAAAGAUGUUUGGGACACUGCUGGACAGUGCUCUGCGUCGCCGGCUCGCCGCCACGCCCGGCCUCACACCUGUAAAUUUUAAGGAGUACGUUUUACUGUAUGUGAGUUAUACCUCAGUGAAUCUGACUUCAUGCAGUGCACCCGUUCUUCACGCCCUUACGGGAGUCUCGCCCGCCUCUGACCAGCCUGCUCAGGUGGAGGGCUCACGUUGGGGCCCGUGGGCAGACUCGGCGGAAACCCCGGGCGGCUCGGAGCGGCGCGGCGCAGCUGUCCUGUGCCCUUCCCCGGCCUUCGCGGCCAACGUGCAAAGGUCAGCCGAGCCGUGUGACCCGAGACGCCUGCGGUGCCCUCCCCUUUGCGCUGGUCUGGAGGCCGAGAGAGGAGGUCGUCCACGGAUCCCUGCAGUCCUAGGCCUUCUCCACUCUGUAGGAAGCUGUCGUUAAAACCUCGACAACGGCCGUGGGAGGAGAAUGCUACUCCGACCCCAUCUUACAGCCCGGGGGCUGAGGCUCCGGGCAGACAGCGAAUCGGGGAAGGGACAGGCGGGUUUAAACCCGUGGGAGCCGAACUCGAAAGCGGGGGCUCCCGGACACCCGGCCCGUGCACCCCACUCCUGCUCACAACCACCGAA